rnacentral:misc_RNA from 1 species
AAUCUGCAUGAAUAACUUCACAGGUUAAGUACACCAUACUGUUAGCAAAAGCAUUAGUAGUGAUAAAUUGCAUUCAUUGCAUCCAAUUUCAAGAGGGGCCACAAUGCUGUUCUAAGCCCAUGCGUUAGUUCUUAUGCACUUUUUCCUGGAAGAAAAGCACUUCGUUAUAUAUUGUUAAGAACAACAUGAUCAACCGAUAAUUUUUCUUAAACAAAAAGAGAUGGAACCUAGCUUUACCUGUUUA